ACCAGCCUUGGAUGGCCGACGCGUGGACAUCCCAGCAAUCCGGGCCCUGCUUGCCCCUGCUCGCCCGGCUCCCAACCGCGACACGAGGACAUGGCGCUCGUCAUCGUACGCGCUAGACCCGGACGUGCUCCCGGCCUUCGUAUCGGCUGUCUCGGACGCGCACCCCCACCGACAGAACAUCGCGCACGGCGUCCCACCAGCGCAGCACCGUGGCCCCGCUCGUCCCACAAAUCAUCGCCGACGCGCUCGGCCGCGUGCGCGAUCAGGGCUCAUCUGUCAGUGCCACACUCGUUGACACCACGCACUCCGGCCUGGCGGCCUGUGAUGGACG
rnacentral:lncRNA from 1 species